ensembl:lncRNA
CGGAGUCAAACGCGUUUAAACCGAACUCUUCCCGUCUUCUUCAAGUUUUUCCCAAAUUGAGGUAAACGUCAACGAAUCUUAAUCGAAUUUAACCUACAUGGAUAAAAAUAUAAACCAUGGAAACGAUACUGAAAACAAAAUGCACUGGGGGCUGUGAACUGGGAAGCAGCUGUUCUUCUAAGGAACACCCUAGAGGCAGCAAGGUGGCGCGAACUCUGAACAUUUAAAGGCACUGUUUCCCUCCCCCUAGUGUAAUUGGGAUGGAUGGGGAAGACUGCAUUUACAACCCUUAAAGAACUAUGGUUGUAUGAUGGCCAGGA